UCUCUGAGCAUGACCAGAGAACUGAGUAUGCUUCAUCACAAAGCCAGCUUUGGGGAUCAGGCCAUGUCCUAGGGGAGCCUUGAUGCAGAGGACAGAGCUGCACUUCUGGAAGACAUGUGCGUCAGUCAACAGUUUGUGCUUGGGGACCUUCCAGGCACUGGAGCCCGGGCCACCAGCUUGGCUCCCUACCCUGUAUUACCAGAUGGAACCUGAGCUACAGGCAGAACCCUUUGCUUUCAUCUUCCUGGAAAGAGCUGCUGUGUGGGGAAGAGGAGAACACAGGGACUGGGCACCAGUUGAUUCCCGCAGAAGAAUCAAGACCAUAGCAGAGGGCGAUUCCUGAGCCUAAACUCCUGUGAGCAAUUGACUGGACACAGGAUUUCUGGUAAUUCAGCAACAGCAUGCAGAGCUAAUUCUGACCUCAGAGGUAGCACUCCUCUGAGAUAACAAAAUGUAUGGGAGGCUGGUGUGCUCAGGUGGGAAGCUUGGGAGCCUGAUGUCAGGGAGGCAGGAUUGUUCACGGUCUUAGGUCAUCUUUCAUGGUAAGGUAGCUCUAAAGCAAAUGCAUGGCAAAAUGAAUCCAUUUGCUUUCCUCUGUUGCCUCCCACUAUAGUAGUUAAGGGUAUCUGUAUAUGAGUACGUGUUGUGGAAC